rnacentral:rRNA from 1 species
UACGUAGGGUGCAAGCGUUGUCCGGAAUUAUUGGGCGUAAAGAGCUCGUAGGCGGCCUGUCGCGUCGGCUGUGAAAACCCGGGGCUCAACCCCGGGCCUGCAGUCGAUACGGGCAGGCUAGAGUCCGGCAGGGGAGACUGGAAUUCCUGGUGUAGCGGUGGAAUGCGCAGAUAUCAGGAGGAACACCGAUGGCGAAGGCAGAUCUCUGGGCCGUAACUGACGCUGAGGAGCGAAAGCAUGGGGAGCGAACAGG